rnacentral:rRNA from 1 species
AGGGCACCACCAGGAGUGGAGCCUGCGGCUUAAUUUGACUCAACACGGGAAAACUCACCCGGCCCGGACACUGGAAGGAUUGACAGAUUGAGAGCUCUUUCUUGAUUCAGUGGGUGGUGGUGCAUGGCCGUUCUUAGUUGGUGGAGCGAUUUGUCUGGUUAAUUCCGAUAACGAACGGGACUCUAGCCUACUAAAUAGAUCGUCGGCUUACAAACGCCGAUGAGACUUCUUAGAGGGACAGGCGGCGAUUCAGCCGCACGAAACAGAGCAAUAACAGGUCUGUGAUGCCCUUAGAUGUCCGGGGCCGCACGCGCGCUACACUGAAGUGAUCAGCGUGCAUUUUCAGCCUACUCUGCCAAGAGUGGGAAACCCAAUGAACCUUCUUCGUGAUUGGGAUAGGGGGUUGUAAUUAUUCCCCUUGAACGAGGAAUUCCCAGUAAGCGCGGGUCAUAAGCUCGCGUUGAUUACGUCCCUGCCCUUUGUACACACCGCCCGUCGCUACUACCGAUUGAAUGUUUU